rnacentral:tRNA from 1 species
CGGGGCGUAGCUCAGUCUGGUAGAGCGCCUGGUUUGGGACCAGGAAGUCGUCGGUUCGAAUCCGGCCGCCCCGAC